GUGAGAUUUUUGUUUGCUCCACUAAGAGAUCUGAUCAUCAUCGAGUCAGAAGAAACAGAACAACCUGAGACAGACUAAAUCCAGAAGAACUGUGGCAACGUCUCCAAGAUGCUUCAAGAAACCUUACAGUGCAAAAAAAUCUGAGAUUAUUGGGGUCUGGAGCAGGCAGGAGCCAGGAAAUUAAGAGGCUGGAGAGGCCGAGCAACAUCACUGACCAUAUACAGUGCAAGCUGUGA
ensembl:lncRNA